UUACAAAUACAACAAACAGUCAACGUUGUGAAUGAUUGAGUAGCUACCAAACAUUACAAAUACAACGAACAGUCAACGUUGUUUCAAUCCUUUCUAAUAAUCUUGUUUCUCAAUCUUUCUGUCUUCUCAAUUUUUCUGUCUUCUCAAUUUUUCUGAGUUCUAUUCUAAACAAACGACGAUAACACCAACUUUGUUUCGACCUCUCAUUUCUCUAAUAAUCUUUUUCUCAAUCUUUGAUGUGUUCUCUUCUGAUGGAGUCACCACAUUCAUCACCAUGUUCUCGGAUUUCAUUUACGUCACCACAUUCAUCACCAUGUUCUCGGAUUUCAUUUACGUCACCCCCAGCGGCACCAAAACCCAAUAAGAAACGAAAGAUAGAGUUUUUACAUGAUGAGAUUCCUCACACGAUCACACUAUCGUCACCUCAUCAUACUUCCUCGCCACUGCAGAAAAGACGCUUACGGUUAAUGGAUGAAAUUAUUUAGGUUGGUGAGAUGCGAUUAGAACUGUUUCGUCUCAUCAACAACACUCAAGAAGCCAUGGAUGCUGAAAGAAAGAGGAAAAUCGCAAUCUUGAUGUCAUUUAGAUAGUAACUAACAACUUUUUAUUCAUUUCAAUUGAUUCUGUUAGGUAUGUUGUUUUAUUUCCCCAAUGUUAUUUUGAAUCCAUCCAUCUGUUACUAUUGUUGUGUCAUGAUGAGUAGCAUCAAACUCCUUCAGGUAAAGUAACUAGAAAUAGAAUGGCAUUUAGUAUGUGUGGUUAACUAUGACUUCCUAACCGUAUCUUGUUCUUUUUCCUUUUUCACUUUACAAUUUAGAAAAAAAUCCACUUAUAAUAUUUUACACAUAGGUUGUGUUGCAUUGCUCAACAAGUUUUUAUUGAAUACAUCUUUUACAAAACUUUACUCUUGGAUUAAAAUUUUAAAUAUUUAGUAACUAUUAUGUUCAAUUUCAUCAUUUCUGUCCAGGAACUUUAUAGCAGGUUUGUCCAUAUGACAUUUGUUAUGUCAUGUGGCGUGUUGCUAAUAAUGCUACAAUGCAUAUUGAGGCUUCUUAAAAUUCCAGGUUAAACUUUAUUAGUACAAAAACAGCGCAGUCUUAGUAGCACUGUUGCCAUUACGAAGAAUGAAAUCUAAUACCUUUAUGUAACUUUUUAUACAUAAGCACUUAAAAAAGACAAACUUUUUGGUAAAUAGGUUGUGAGAUGAAAAUUUGAUCUUAACUUAUCUAUGCAGGUUCUAGGUUGCUCAAUGUGAUUUGCUGAUUUUUUAUUUGUGGCAAGAAAUUGGGCUAAAGAUGAACAAACACGGAAGUUCUUAAGAGGUCAGCGGAAGACUUCUGCUUUUGCUUCUCCCAGAGUGACAGGGAAUUCUGGUGGAUCAGCCGAUGGGUUUUAAGAGUGAAAAAAACCAGAGAGUUUUAAGAGUGGAAAAAAAUGCAGAAUGAAUCACUCUAAGGAUUGCAGGGCUGUUAGUUCAUGUUUCGGAAAUUGGAGGUUUGCAAAUAUUUGUGGCUAACUAUGAAAGAAUACUCAUGGAGUGCUGACUGGAUUUGUACAGAAGAGUCUGUACUGAAUCCAAGAGGAGGGUAAUGGUGUUUCACUGUUAAAGGAGGAUUGAUGUGCAAUGAUGCUUCACUGUUGAAGUGUGGAAUGAUUGAUGACUGCUUAAAGAAGACUUGUCAAUUAUAUGAUUCAAUGAAGAAUGAAGGUUUUGAAGUCGUUUGUAUGAAUGAAGAGUGAUAAGGAAACUGAGAAAAAAAACCAGAGAGUUUUAAGAGUGAAAAAAAAUGCAGAAUGAAUCACUCUAAGGAUUGCAGGGCUGUUAGUUCAUGUUUCGGAAAUUGGAGGUUUGCAAAUAUUUGUGGCUAACUAUGAAAGAAUACUCAUGGAGUGCUGACUGGAUUUGUAAUGUGUACCUGCUUUUUCAUGCAUGUUGAUGUAUGGGAGCUUUUACUUGCUACAGGUCUAUUGCACAAUCCAAUUGGAAUUGGUUCUGGUUGUUAGUUUUACUUGAUUGUCAGAGUCUUUGCAGGCAGGUAGCACAACCUUGGUAUGCUCACAUCAUGAAUAUAUCAAAAUCAGUCUUAAAGUCAUUACAGAUAUGGAGAGCCAACAGUUGAGGUCACAAAUGAAGGCGUUGAUGUUGCAGGGCAUGCAGUUGGUUCAUCUUCGGAGUGUGAUCAAACCUGCAGCACUGGGAAAAGCCUCUGCCCAAGCAAGCUUAUGGUUAAUCUUUCUCAAUUAUUAUCAUUGGAUUGUGCAUUGUUGGUUUUAUUGUUUUAUUUCCCAACAUUAUUUUGAAUCCAUUAUUAACUUGAUCGUUGGAGACAUUGUAGGUACCACACCCUUGCUAUGAAUAUGUACAAUUUUAAUAAAAAUGUGAAGCCUUUUUUUUAUUUGAACAUUUCUUCACUCGUCUUAAUGACUUUUUGUUGGCUUUCUUGUAGUGAGCUUAUUUACUUUUCAAUGCUUACAUUGAUAAUGUUUUGUGGAUUUUGUAGGAGGAUAACUUGGAAGAGUUUGGUGAAUUGUAAAAUAAUAGAGUUGAUACCUAUUAUGUCGUUGUACUUACUGUUAAAUUGUUUGUUCCGCACAUAUCUUUCGCACAUAUCUUUCAUGUGUCUGUUUAUGUUCUAUAGAAUGCAUACAUGCUAAUGUUGAUGUUUUGAUAUUGUUUCUAUUUCAAUUAUUCCUUCAUGAAUGAUCGUUUGAUUAUUUAUGAGUUUAGCUUUAGAUUAUUUCUUCCAUUGUUUGAUUUUGAAUAGGGUUUGUAUUUUAAUUGUUGGAAGCUGUUGUAUUGCUUUAGAUUAUUUCUUCCAUUGUUUGAUUUUGAAUAGGGUUUGUAUUUUAAUUGUUGGAAGCUGUUGUAUUAAUCAAUGAAUGAUGUGAAUCUAAAUUCUAAUAUAACAAUCUGAUUUAGUUCAAUCUCCUAAGCUUUCUUUAUUUUAUUAACAGAAAACAACUAACUACACUUGUUUGCAUUUUCCAGGAGUAACUAGAAAUAAAUGCAAAUAUUUAAUGGUGAAGGAUAAUACUAACAUUAUGAAUUUUGUUUCAGGCCCUGCCAAGGGAGCAAGUGUAUGUGACAUUUUUCGUAUUGAGUUUCAUGCACUUCAUUAGAUAAAAUGAACUUGUUCUUUGUCUAAUUUAAGUAUUUCUUCCAUAUUGCCUUAAGUUUUCUUCAAUGCAAUGAUUAAAUGAACUUGUUCAAUGUCUAAUUUCAGUAUUACUUCCAUAUUGCCUUACUCACUUGUUCAGGUCAUUUUUGCUGAUUUUAUAGUAAUCUGUGAUCGAUUCCAUGAGAUAUCGAAAGUGAUGCAAAUCACCUUUGAUUUGGAAGCAUAAUCCGGUCUCCAUCCCAACUAUUCUUCGUAUUGAGUUUCAUGCACUUCAUUAGAUUAAAUCACAUACAUUUGUGAUUCUAGUAGAUGGAAAGUGUAUUCAAUUUGUUAAUUGCUCUGAAGCAUCCUCCACACCUCUUAUCAACGGCAUGUCCGGUGUCCGACACCGACCCAAAUCUACAUUCAAUUUAUUCAUUUUUUUCAAAUUAUUACUGGUGUCGACGUGUCCUGCGUCCGUAUUCUAUAUGUUAAUUGUAUUAUAUAGAGAUUUUAAGUGCCUUGUCCGGGUUAUUAUUAUCCAUAUGUAGUAACCGUGUCUUUAAUAGAUAUUGAUGCACAUCAAUUUGAAAAGUUGCAAAUUGUUUUUAACUCAUUUCAGAUCCAGUAAUCUCCAAUGCCCUUGGUGGAAUUCUUGUUGGUUUAGUUACUAGCCAUGAUGGCGGUGUUGAAAACGUAACGUUUAUUGUAGGAAACAGAUUUUUUGCAGUUACUGAAUAUGAUUCCGUUUUGUAUGACUUCCAUAUCAUAUUUUCUGAUUUGUACAAAUUUGCUUUAGUGGUUUUUCUUCAAUGAAGCUACAGCAUGGCUACAGUUCAUUUAAAAUUAGCCAUCUUCUUCUUGUGUCGUCUAUAAGAAAAAUUGCACGGUUGACUUAAUAUAUCCUUGUUAUGGUUUUAUGGACAAUCUUUCUCAAUUAUUAUUAUUUGAUUGUGCAAUUGUGAAGUUGUUAUGAUAUGCCUGUGAUUAGUAUGUUCUUUUAUUUACCAAAAUUAUUUUGAAUUCAUAACUAACUUGAUCGUCGGAGUUUUUGCAGGUACCACAUCUUUGGUAAGUCAUGCUAUGCUCAUGAGUAUGAUGAAACAAAAAGGAAAUGCAACAUCUUAAAAGCAUGGUAGGAAGUUUACCUUUGAUUUGAGCUGCUGGCCAUGCUUAACAGUCCGGUCUUCAACCGAGCUGAGUGAAUGAGAUUCAUUGACAUGGGGGGCCUUCUGAAACAUUAGAAAUGGGCAGAGGCUGAAAACUUUGGGUGUCAGGCUGUGUUUGAAGUGGGGAGUCAUGCCUCAAAUAUAAAUUCUGGUGUCCCUAGUGAAAGUUGAAGCUAAAACAUUGGAAAUUUGAGUUGUUCUUCAUAAUGCCUAUUAAGCUCACGAGAUCUUGCGAAAGAAAUGGGAGAAGGAAGGUAUAUAUGCUCUUGUCAUGAAUAGAUCAAAAUGAGUCUUGUGGUCAUUUAAGGGAGAGCAGCAAUUGAGGUUACAAAUGAAGGUGUUGAUGCUGCAGGGCAUACAAUUGGUACAUUUUUGAAGGUCAUUUCCAACUUAGGAAGGUUCUCAAUCCCAAGAGUACCACACCUUUAGCUAGUGAUGCUGGUUUCUUUUGCUGUGAUCAUGUCAGACUUGAGGCCCUUAGAGGUAAUGUUCUUAUGUUUGCCUAUUUUAAUUUGGUUUGAUUUGUUUGUGCUCAACAGAUUAUUCAGGUUCAUUCGUUGAUUUCGUUUAUUAAUAUGUACAAGUUUUAUAAAAACGUGAAGCCUUUUCUUGACUUGAACAUUUUUUCAGAUAUUAUUCAGGUUUUUUUUGAACUAUGCAAUGAUUAAAUGAACUUGUUCUUUGUCUAAAUUCAAUAUUUCUUCCAUAUUAAAUCUGGCGGCCUUACUUCACUUGUUCAAUUUAUUUUUUCUUAAUUUAUAAUAAUUUGUGACCUUUUCCAUGAGAUAUAGAAAGUGAUGCAGGGAACCUUUGAUUUGGAAGCAUAAUUCGGUAUGCACCCCAACUAUUUUUCAUAUAGAGUUUCAUGCAUUACAUUAGAUUAAGUCACAUAAAUUUGUUAAUUAAUCUAUAGAACCUACACCUCCGAUCAAAGGCGUGUCCAAUGUCAGACACGUGUUGGUUUCUGUUUCUGACACUGACUUACCACAUUCAAAUUAUUUAUCUUUUAAAAUUAAUACUGGUGUUGACGUGUCAUUCUCGUGUCCCAUGCUCGUAUUGUAUAAAGAAGUUUGAAAUCCAUAGUAUGAAAUUUCCAGUGCCUUGUUCUGGUCAUUGUUAUCCAUAUGUGGUAAAUGUGUCUUUAAUAGAUAUUUAUGUACAUCAACAUGAAAAUUUGCAUAUUGUUUAUAAUUCAUUUCAGAUCCUAGUAAUUUCCUACUAUGACUAUCAAAAUCUUUUUAUUUGGACUUUAGAUAAAAAGUCAUCCUGCAUAUGUUAUGAUUUUUACAAAUUUGCUGAAGUGGUUUUCCUUCAAUUCUGGUUGCAGGGAUUUGUCAUCGUCUCAGUUUUAUUCGAUACAACAUCUUGCCCUCAUACACCUUCACAAAAUGGGGUAGCCGGACGUAAAAAUAUGCAUCUUGUAGAAACCGCUUGGACCUUACUUCUCUAUGGUAAUGUUCCAUUCUGGUUCUGGGGGAUAUUAUGCUAAUAUGGCAUGUUACCUUAUAAACCUCAUGCCCUCGUCUGUCCUUAACAACAAUAUCCCUCAUUUAAUUUUGUUGUUUCCUUAUUCCCCCUUCACCCAAUUCCUCCUCGUGUCUUCGAGUCUACAAUAUUUGUUAAAGUAAAUGCUCGUGACGGUGACGGUACGGUGAUCACCCAUGGUUCUCUUUCUCUCUCUUCCAGGAAAGUAUGUACGCUCUUGUCAUGAAUAGAUCAAAAUGAGUCUUGAGGUCAUUACAGGGAGAGCCAGCCGUUGAGGUUACAAAUGAAGGUGUUGAUGCUGCAGGGCAUACAAUUGAUACAUCUUUGGAGGUCAUGUUCAAACUUAGGAAGGUUCUCAACCCCAAGAGUGUGAUCAAACCAACAUCACUAGCUAAAGAUUAUUUUGAAUCCACAACUAACUAGAUCGUCCGAUGCUUUGUAGGUACCACACUUUGCUAUGACCAUGUCAGUCUUGAGGUCCUUAGAGGUUCUAGGUUGCUCAAUGUGAUUUGCUGAUUUUUUAUUUGUGGCAAGAAAUUGGGCUAAAGAUGAACAAACACGGAAGUGCUUAAGAGGUCAGCGGAAGACUUCUGCUUUUGCUUCUCCCAGAGUGACAGGGAAUUCUGGUGGAUCAGCCGAUGGGUUUUAAGAGUGAAAAAAACCAGAGAGUUUUAAGAGUGGAAAAAAAUGCAGAAUGAAUCACUCUAAGGAUUGCAGGGCUGUUAGUGCAUGUUUCGGAAAUUGGAGGUUUGCAAAUAUUUGUGGCUAACUAUGAAAGAAUACUCAUGGAGUGCUGACUGGAUUUGUACAGAAGAGUUUUAGGUUUUGAGUGUAGAAGCAAUGUGUACCUGCUUUUUCAUGCAUGUUGAUGUAUGGGAGCUUUUACUUGCUACAGGUGAAUUAGAGUUUUAGGGCCUAAGUAAGUUGUCACUUAACAAUCCCUGAGAGUGAGAAGGCUCUACACGAGUUUUACGGAUAUGCCUUGCAUCCUAUUGUAUUAUGUAUAGACACUAGGUUUUAUUCACCAUCUCAUCGAUGUACCCGGUUCUAUAGAGUAGCUUAGUUUUGCAGUAGUACAUUAGUUGCACUUAUAUUAACUGCACUGACCGAUAUGGGUUUUUUUGU